GUAGAUUUAAAGGAGUACAAUGCAUUAGCAAAAUCUCUCACUCCUUUUUUUUUAAUCAUUUCCUAAUAAUUUGAAUAAUCUACAAAUUAACUUGAAACUGUCUGGAGCUAAUUUGGGUGAUUCAUUUCAUGAAUUAUAUUUUAACAAUGGUUUCACUUUGUGUCAUGUCUUUGUGUCAAAUAUUUUUCCAGCAAAAUGUCAACUUUGCAUCCCUCUACAUUCUGUUGUGCCUGAUGCCAUCAUAUUUUCUCAUAUCAGAGUUUUUGAAAUUGGCCAGGCAGUUCCAGACAAAAACACAUUUGUAGCUGGGCCCGAUGACAGAAGUAGCUGUGGCUUCCAGCUGUGUGUUAACACAAUAGCCUUAACUCUUUGGCCGGACUCUGGAUGGGUCCCUGGGGAACAGCUCUGCUUUUUAAAGGUAAGUAAUAUAUAUCCAGAAAAUCAACCAUAAAGGGGUCCCUAUUCCCUCCCACAAAAGCCACCUUGGCCGUUGUCAGAUGCGGCACUAGCUUACUUUGAGUCAAUCUGGGCGGGGUUUAGUUAGAACACCUGACCCAGAAUGACUGGUAAUGUGACUCUAGUUUAAGGCAGAAACACUGAUAUCAUAGGAUGUUUAACAGUUGUGUAGAGGUUGUGGAAAGGUUGUGGAUUAGCUAUGCUUGUAGCAGCUCAUAUCAGAAGAUCAUUUCAUUGUAAAAGUACAAUGUGUCGAUGUCGAUGAAGUGUGAGGAAAUCCUGGACCUGGUGUGGUCUUAAUUUUGGUUCAUUUCUCAUACCAAUUCUGCAUGUGUUUCUGUGGGUACUGCACACGUAUGUAUGUGUGUAUGUAUGUAUAAGAUAAAAAAGUUGUUUUAUUCAGUAAGGACACAUUACAUUAAAAUGGAAGUAAAUACUGUAUAUUAAAGCAUAUUAAAAUGCAACAGUUUUAACAGUUACUUUAAAUUGUAACAAAUAUUUCACAAUACUGUUUUAAUUGUAUUUUUCAUCAACUAUAUACAUUUAACAUAUAUUAUAUAUGAUAAAUGUAUAAUAAUUAUGGUAAUGUAAAGCCACAGGAGCAGUCCCAGGUAUCACAAUGAGGAAUGCUGUUUGUAACUGUUCUGGAAAACAGCUGAGAGGAACACAGCGGAGGACAUGAGACGUUUGAAGAGCUAUCUUAAGUGGUGAUGGGGAGGUGGAGCUUCCAGGAAGAUGGACAUAAACCAAAGCAUCGCUGACAACAUUAACAUGACCUGCCACAGCAUCGCAGUUUUAAGCUGAAAUUACAUAUAACACACACACACACACACACACACACACACACACACAUCAUACACCCUUACAAAUAUGUCCACUGUGCAAACAUAUUUGCUGUUAUAUUGAAAAAUGCUCUAAACUUGACAGUGAAACACUUCCUUUUUUUCCUUGUCCUUUUUUGCACUUAAAUUCUGAAGUCUCCCUUUGAGAGCUAAAAUGUGCAAGUGCUCUCACUCCAAGCCAACAUCUCUAAGUGUUACAUAUUUGUGGUUGCACUGGAAAACCACAAUUUAUGAAUUUUGUUGAAUUACUGAUUGUUGAGUAUUUGUCAACUUAGUUAAGUAAAUCUCAGACUGCCAGUGACCAAAGUCCAGACCUGAAGCAAGAACAAGUGUAGUUAUUUAAUUAGCACAGUUAACAAAAACUGUAUCCUAGGUCAAAUCUAUACUGAAGUGAUUAGGAUUUUUAAUUAUAAAUAAAGUCAAACCAAUAUUUAUUUAGACUCCUUCA
ensembl:lncRNA